rnacentral:rRNA from 1 species
UACGGGGGGGGCAAGCGUUGUUCGGAAUUACUGGGCGUAAAGGGCUCGUAGGCGGCCUACUAAGUCAGACGUGAAAUCCCUCGGCUUAACCGGGGAACUGCGUCUGAUACUGGAUGGCUUGAGUUCGGGAGAGGGAUGCGGAAUUCCAGGUGUAGCGGUGAAAUGCGUAGAUAUCUGGAGGAACACCGGUGGCGAAGGCGGCAUCCUGGACCGACACUGACGCUGAGGAGCGAAAGCCAGGGGAGCAAACGGG